UUUUUCUACAUUAAGGUAUUCACAUAUCUUUCACCAAAUUUACGCGUACCUGGCGCGGGUCAAAGUAUUGACCCGUUUUAAUACCUUGCCUUAAUAAUUUGCUGAUUCAUAGCCACGUAAAUUCCAUAAGCCGUUUUACCCUGUGAGCAUUAGACUCGACAUGCACUUGUUAGUCGUUAUUCGUCAAAUGGUGUUAACAUUACCAUUUGACCUGUUUAGUCUAAACGACCAAACAUUUUGCACUUAUAUUUGAAUGGUAUUUAUUUACCAUUUCAUUAUUUAACCCGUUUCGCCCCUUUUUGCCAUUAAACAUGGUUUUUAUCCUUUUAUUCGUCGACCCGUAUCAUUUCGUGUCAGAACCCAUAUUUCGGAUAUAACCUUGGUCGUGUUUAUAAUCUAUAAAGUAAAUACGUAUCCUAAAAAAACAAAAGUGUAAGCUCUACUUACCUCGCGUCCGCGCAAACAUUCUUCGCAUCCAUGAUCCUGUAAGCUCUACUUACCUCGCGUCCGCGCAAACAUUCUUCGCAUCCAU
rnacentral:lncRNA from 1 species